rfam:Felis catus isolate Cinnamon breed Abyssinian chromosome B2, whole genome shotgun sequence.
ACCUGAGUGGCUCAGUUGGUUGAGCAUCCGACUUCAGCUCGGGUCAUGAUCUCACAGUCCAUGGGUUCAAGCCCCACAUCCGGCU